rnacentral:rRNA from 1 species
GCAAGUCGAACGAGAAAGUUUCCUUCGGGAAAUGAGUAGAGUGGCGCACGGGUGAGUAACGCGUAGGUAAUCUACCCUUAUAUUUGGGAUAACAGACCGAAAGGUCUGCUAAUACCGGAUACCCUUUUGGUUAUGCGAAUAGCCUUGAGGAAAGGUGGCCUCUUCUUGAAAGCUACCGUAUAGGGAUGAGCCUGCGUACCAUUAGCUAGUAGGUGGGGUAACGGCCCACCUAGGCGACGAUGGUUAGCGGGUCUGAGAGGAUGAUC